AUUGAACGCUGGCGGCAUGCCUUACACAUGCAAGUCGAACGGUAACAGGUUAAGCUGACGCGUGGCGCACGGGUGAGUAAUGUAUCGGUACGUGCCCGGUCGUGUGGGAUAACUGCUCGAAAGAGCAGCUAAUACCGCAUACGACCUGAGGGAGAAAGCGGAGGAUCGCAAUACCUCGCGCGAUUGGAGUGGCCGGUAUCCGAUUAGGUAGUUGGUAAGGUAAUGGCUCACCAAGGCGACGAUCUGUAGCUGAUCUGAGAGGACGACCGGCCACACUGGAACUGAGACACGGCCCAGACUCCUACGGGAGGCAGCAGUGGGGAAUUUUGGACAAUGGGCGCAAGCCUGAUCCAGCCAUGCCGCGUGAGGGAAGAAGGCCUUCGGGUUGUAAAACGCUGUUGUCAGGGAAGAAAAGGUGCUGGCUAAUACCUGGGACUCAUGACGGUACCUGAAGAAUAAGCACCGGCUAACUACGUG
rnacentral:rRNA from 1 species